rnacentral:pre_miRNA from 1 species
AUCACCCAGAGCUCUUGCUAAAAUGCAGAUUCUGAUGCAGCAGGUCUAUGGAAGGCCCAAGAUUCUGCAUUUCUAACAAGUUUCCAAGGUAAGGCAAU